UGAGAUAUGCAGUAAAUAGCUUGCACAUUAACUUUGACAAUAUGCAGAAGUACUUAUUGCACAUGUUAAAGAAUAACUGAGCUCACAUAGUGACUAUUAAAUGUGAAGUAGUUGAACUAAAAGGGAUGAUGAGUUUAAAAGUUCACUUCCUCGCAAUUUGGAAGACCCUCAAGAAAUAAAGUUUCAUCCAAAGAAGGAGAGUGCAGGAGGGACGUACUGGUAACGGAGGGGACAUAGAAGCUCAGAUGGCCGAUACGCUGCUUUAUAUCUCAUCUUGCUGCAUGAAUGAAUGUAAUAGCCAAGGUAAUAAUACUGGAGACUGGGGCAGUGAACUCGAUUCUCCUUCACCCAAGAUAUUUCUUGCAAAGCCGAAUAUUUUCCCAGUGAUAAAAAGGCAAAGUCAGGGUCCCAAAAUAAAUAUUUACUCGACAAGCAUUUAGGAAGGAUAUCCACCACACCAACCGCAACUAAUCGGCCAUCAAUAACAUAUGACUGAUGGAAAGACCCAAAACCGCAGGGAGGAACUGAACCAUCACCGGUCGAGGGAACAAAAACCAAUGGUGUGUCAACCAAAAAACUCUCGUACCCUUCCUCUGUGAUAUCGUCUGGAUUGUCCUUGUGCACUUUCAACUGAUAUCGCCUGUACAACUCAAAUUCUUCACGCUCAAAACUGGAUCUUUUCAGAAGAAUCUCAAGCUUCCGCCUUUUUCCUGAACAACAGUUACAGCACCUCACCAUACAUCUUCUCUUGUUUCCAUUUCUCGUUGAAGAUUCUUUAGAGAGAGAUUUUUCUUCGCCAGUCUUAUCCGCUGAAGCGUGCUCUGCAAUAGAAUAAAAGUUCAGAUGUCCGUUACAUGCUUGGACCAAGAAGCCAGAUGUUUCAUCCGUUUGAGACAAUGACCGCGCCAACUUUUCUCCAAUCCUUCGAGGUGUCAACUCAGAAGGCAGUUGGUCUUCUGCUGAGAUUCCAGAGAAUUCUGACCCUUUUUCAUCCUUUUUUUCUGACCGCGCACGCCUUAAAGUGGCAGCCAAUUGGAAAGCAAUGUUACUGGUAUACGAGAGAUUUUCCAAUCCUUUGACUAGCUUCUUCUUCUUGGUUGGGGAGCCUCCUUUGACAGAAGCUUUAGGUAAUUGAAGAUUGGCAGAAAACGUCUCGCUUUCGAUACAUGCCUGCACAGCCUUAUCAAUUGCAUCAGACAAGUAAUGCAUAAAUUGUUCUGGCUCAUUCUUAUCCUCCUCCACGUCCACAGAAGUUUCAACCGUUGCCAAGUUUGACCUUCCAUGACAUUCACAUUCACAUGCCACUUUAGAAGUAUUUAAAUCCUCCAGGAGCUCAGGCUUGGCUUUGGUGUCCAGUGUACCAUCCAGAAACCUAGAAAAUAAUCACCAUGGUGAGAAAUUCUUGUACAUUAUAUCCAGAGUAUGCAGCUUUGCUAAAUCCUCACCUCAAAGGUAUAAUUCGGUUGAAAUGCACAAGUAGCCUAACAAUUUUUGCAACCAUUGCACUUGUUAAGUUUAGCUUCAUGGUGUAAAAAGACCGAGAAAUUUCUCAAGGAGUCAAAAAGCAAAGCUCUUUCACUUUGAGAAAUCUCCUAGGUUGGAAAGCUUAGUGACGUCAAACUAAAAUUCCACUCAUGGAGUUGUCCGUUGAAAUACCAUUCCAAUGCCUACCAGCCUCAGAGUGGGCAAAUAGUAUUUUUGAUGACCACUGGUCUAAUCAAUUGACAAAGAAUGGACUCCAAACUCGAAUGCUGUCUUGAAAACAGGGUGGUGGUCGAUUUUGCAAAAUCCAACGACGACGGACUGAUGAAAAAAAUCAUAUGUGAAGAUGCAAUGAUCCAAUGAAUAGAAUCCAUAAUGUAGAGAGGUUAUUAAAGUAAUACCUUUCCAUCCGUUUGCGUACUCGAUUUUGCUCCUUGGAAGGAGAAAAGUCCGCUGCUUUUAAGCGGAUAGUAUAAGAAGGGCAACACGUAGUACUCAUAUCUGGCUUGUAAAGGAAAGAGCCAGAUCUUCUCCAUCCUCGAUCAAGGAGAUCUACAGGAUGAGCAUCGAAGUAUGAAUUGCCACUCAAAAGAUAAAUGCACAAUCAUUGAAUGUACUAUAACAUCUAUCCGAGCCAUCAUUGCCACAGUAAGAAAACUAUUGGGAUAGAAACGACUCGAGUCGGAACUUCAGCAUCCACCAUAGCUCCAACAUGGUUUCUCUGAGCUCUUGCAGUUAAAAUACGCACAUACGGAAGCAUACGUGCGUGUCUUAACUGCUGAUAGAAUGAGUAGGCAUAAAUUUCCCUCAUACGGAUCAAGCAUUCGAAAUUUCUCUACUUCUUUCGACCAGACAUGUGCACAUAUUGAAACUACAUGAGCCGAGAGUCGAUUAGUUACAGCGCAUCGACAGUCCAGAGCUGCCCAGACUCUCAAAAUAGGAAAUCCCGCACCAACCUUGAUAGUCAUCCACGUUUAGGCUCUCCGCGAUCAAGCCUGCGAUCCAAGUCGAAGAGACGUUAAAAAACAAACAAUACGAAACGGGAAAAAAUCGUCACAGCAAGCCGACACACGCAACGAAGCGUCAGAUUGGAACUAAAGACUAAACGCGAAUCAGCAAUUCCAGCGACCGUGAACGUCACAACAGACGACAAAAGCCGGCAAAAAGCAAACCCGACGCACGGCAUCUCCAGUCCCGAGCCACCGGAGUCCGGGCAAAAACCGUACUCAACGACACGGGCGGGAGGCAAACAACGAGAAACGAAGGAGGAACCGUACGGACCGUGAGAAAUGCUGGACCGAUUGGACGAUCCGCAGUACCCGCAGGAGCUCCUCUGCCGGCCGCAGUCCAUGACCACCGACUUCCCCCUUCCGCCGCCGCCGCCGCCGCCUCCGCCUCUGUCGCUGCUGCUCGCCUCGCUGCGAUGAUGGGCCGCCAUGUUGGAACCAAAAGGACUUGGAGGGAGAGAGUACACACACAAAGAGAGAUUAUAUUACACAAUAUGCCUUUGUAAAGGCUUAAGAGAGUACACACUAACUUUGCUAAGUUUAAAACUCUCUCUAAAAACUCACUCUCUCACAAAAACACUCUCACACACUGAACUAACGUAACCCUAUAUCUAAAAGUACUUCACCGCAUGGACUUCAAACCUGCAAGAGUUAAAUUUGAACUUUACUUCUUGGCAGUCAAAAAAAAACGUCGGCUGCGUAUCUCUUCUUCUUGCUGUCUUCAGAGAGAAUAAAAUAUUGCCAUCCCCAAGUUGCUUUCCUUCCUUUCCUUCGUGCUCUUGGAGUCUUCAGCAGCAACUAUAAUAUUUUAUUGUGUGCCCAAGACUUGUACUUUCUUCAUGAUUUUUCUUCUCCGGCGGCUCAGAGAGACGUGGUGCUGUAGCACACGUUUCUUUGACGGUUUACAAACCUAAUAACUCUUAUUUACACACACACAGCCAAAAACAAUUAAAAGACAAAUAAGCUAGUCAAAACACAAAACCAAUUUUACUAUUUUCUAACAGCCUCCCUUAAAAUUGAUUUUGUAAGACUACGACACCAAGCAUUGUCUUCAAUUUCUCGAACAGAUCCGCCUUCAAUGGUUUUGUCAAAAUAUCUGCAAUCUGGUCUUCGGAUUUACAGAAAUCAAGUUCAAUCUCAUCUUCUUUAAUCAGCUCACGAAUAUAAUGAUACUUGAUGUCGAUAUGUUUGCUCCUGCCAUGAAAUACAGGAUUCUUGGCCAAUGCAAUUGCUGACUUGUUAUCACACAUCAAUUUAGUAGGACCUUUUUGUUCAUGCAUAAGCUCAAAAAGCAUCCUUCGAAGCCACAUCGCCUGACAUGCUGCUGAAGAUACUGCAAUGUAUUCUGCUUCAGUUGUUGAGAGUGCAAUAACUUGUUGUUUCUUUGAUGACCAAGAAAUUAUUCCUGAUCCAAGAAAGAACGCAUAUCCAGAAGUGCUCUUUCGUGUUUCAGUAUCACCUGCCCAAUCACUGUCUGUAUACCCCACUAAACUGAAGUUGUCAGUGUAAGAAUAUGAAAUUCCAUGAUCACGAGUUCCACUGACAUACCUUAAAAUUCUUUUUGCUGCUUGCAAAUGUGAUUGGUAUGGUUUCUCCAUAAACCGACUAAUAAUUCCCACGCCAUAAGUUAUAUCUGGCCUAGUGGUAGCCAAAUAUCUUAAACUGCCGACAAUACUUUUGAAAUAAGUGGGAUUUACCAGUUCACCGGUUCCUUCUUUCUUCAACUCCAACCGUUCUGCUACAGGAGUUCGAAUUGAUUUGAGCGUUUCCAUAUUGAAUCGCUUCAAAAUAUCAUUAGCAUACUUCUGCUGUGAAACAAAUAUGCCUUCAUUUGUCUGCUUCACUUCAAGGCCCAGAAAAUAGGACAUUAAUCCCAAGUCCGUCAUCUCAAAUUGACUUGUCAUGGCCUCCCUGAAUUCAGCAAACAUCUUCUCACAGCUUCCUGUAAAUAUCAAAUCAUCAACAUAAAGGCAAAUAAUUAUAAUAUUGCCGUUAGUAUUUGAUUUGAUAUACAGUGUAUGCUCAUAAGGGCACUUUUGAAAGCCAUGCUCCAACAGGUAAGUAUCAAUCCUCGUGUACCAAGCUCGAGGUGCCUGUUUUAGCCCAUACAACGCUUUCUUCAAUUUAUAAACUUGAUUUUCACGCCCUUUCUUCACAUAACCUUGUGGUUGCUCCACAUAUACUUCCUCAUCAAGAAAACCAUUAAGGAAUGCCGAUUUCACAUCCAUUUGAUGGAUUUUCCAACGGUUCUGAGCUGCAAGUGCCAAGAUCAUUCGAAUGGUAUCCAUUCGAGCCACCGGUGCAAAUACUUCAAAAUAAUCAAUACCUGGCUUUUGCUUGUAGCCUUUCACCACCAGUCUAGCUUUGUAACGGUCCACCUGACCGUUGGGUUUGCACUUCGUUUUGUACACCCACUUGACACCUAUAGGCUUCUUACCAGGUGGUAAAGAAGUUAGCACCCACGUGUCAUUCUUUUCAAUGGAGUGGAUUUCUUCAUCCAUUGCUUGGUUCCACUUCUCAUCUGCUGCUGCAUCAUCAUAGGAUAUGGGGUCACAUUCGGUAAAUAAACAAAAGUUUACCAUUGUUUCAUCAGUGAUUUCGUCACUGUCAUUAUGAUCAACUCUUGUGACCACAUAAUCCUUGAAUUUUACUGGCGUCUUUUGCGGUCGUUGUGAACGACGAAUCAAUGGUUCUGCAGUCGUUGCUGGUGAGGAGGAUGAACUACCAGGUGAAAGUGAUGGAUCUUCAAUUGAAGAUUCUUCGGUCUCCCUCAUCAAUGGUUCAUCUUCCAUAGGAAUGUCUUUCUGGUCAGCCUUUUGAUUCCAGUCCCAGGCUUCAUCUUCAAAAAAUUGGACAUCCCUGCUAAUAAUUACCUUCUCCGUGACAGGAUUAUAUAGCUUAUAACCCUUAGUCACAUUACUAUAUCCAAUGAAAAUGCACUUCUCGCUUUUAUCAUCCAACUUUUUUCUUCGUUCGUCCGGUAUAUGGGGAUAUGCUACACACCCAAAUACCCGUAGGAACGAAACAUCUGGCUUGUUGCCGCUCCAAGCCUCUUCUGGAGUUCUUCCAAGAACACUCCUUGUUGGACACCUAUUCAACACAAAUACAGCACAAGCAACGGCUUCCGCCCAAAACUUCUUCGGAAUGCUUUAGCCUUUAGCAUACUUCUUGCCAUUUCAAAAAUUGUUCUAUUCUUUCUUUCUACUAUACCAUUUUGCUGAGGAGUAUAGCUAGCAGUCAACUGACGUUUCACUCCAUGAAUUUUACAAUAAUUGUCAAAUUCAUUGGAAGUAAACUCUCCACCUCUAUCCAAUCUCAAUGUCUUUAAAUUAAGGCCACUCUGUUUCUCAACAUAGACUUUGAAUUCUUUAAAUUUGCCAAAAGCUUCGGAUUUUUCUCUCAAAAAAUAAGCCCAUGUUUUUCUAGUAAAAUCAUCGACAAAAAUUAGUGUGUACCUUUUUUGUCCAAAUGAUUCUACCUCAACAGGACCACAGAUAUCUGCAUGUACCAACUUCAGAGGUUGCUUGGCUCUUCUAGCUCUCCCAAUUGGAAACGAUUUCCGAUGUUGCUUUCCAACGAGACAUCCUUCACAUGAGCGGUCUGGAGCAUCGAUCAAGGGCAUGCCAGUCACCAUCUUUUUCUGGACUAGUAAUUUAAGUCCACGAAAAUUUAGAUGACCGAACCGAAGAUGCCAUAGCCACUUGCUAUCUUUUGUCGUUGCUUGGAAACUCAAUAGAGUCUUCGUCUGAAGGGAUAGAGGAAACAUCCGGUUCUUCGUCAUCUGUGUCGUCGUAAUCAACUUAUUGUUUGAGCCUCUAAUGGUGCACACACCAUUUUCAAUGUUAACUUUGUGGCCUUUUUCGGAUAGUUGCCCAACACUCGGCAAAUUCCAAAAGAGUCCCACCACAAAGUAAACGUCUGCAAUAGUAACAUUAGUACCAUCUUUUGAGUUGAUAUCAAUGUUACCUUUGCCCAUCACGAGAAUUUUGGAUUUAUUCCCGAAGUUGACUUCACCACGAACCGUCUCAUCUAACUUCGAAAAUAGCUCCUUUUGACCACACAUGUGAUUGCUGCACCCAGUAUCAAGAUACCAAAUUUUUGUGUCCAUGGUACUUGAGUCAUCCAUUUGGCAUGCUAACACCACGCCUUCAUUUGCAUUGACAGCGUGCACAUAUUCUGGCUGCUCUUGCCCCCUGUUUGCUCGACAUUCGGAUUUGUAAUGUCCGAAUUUGUUACAGUUAAAACACUUGACUUUUGAUUUGUCACGUGUUUGAUAUCUUUUAGUGGAAUUCAGAUUUCCACCUCUACCUCGGGCACCACCACGACCUCCACGACCUCGGGCACCAUGAUGACCUCCUCGAUUUGAUUGAGUGACCCGACUUUGCAGUGCUUGCUCAGAAUUCGAACUGAUAGACUUUUGGUUCAUUCUUUGCUCAUGCGAACAUAAUGAACCCAUCAACCUCUCCAACGUCAUGGUUGAUAUAUCUUGGCCUUCUUCGAUCGCCGCAACGACGUAGUCAAAUCUUUCAGUCAAAGACCUCAAAAUUUUUUCUACGACUCGUACAUCUUGGAGCUCUUCACCAUUAACCCUCAGUUGGUUAACGAUGGUUUGUACACGAUCAAAGUAAGCCGAGAUAGAUUCUGAGUCAUUCAUGCGUAAAGACUCAAAAUCUCCUCGAAGUGUUUGGAGCCGCACCCGCCUGACACGAUCAUCACCUUUGUAGGAUUUUUGCAAUAUAUCCCACGCUUCUUUCGCUGUCUCCGCACUCGAUAUUUUCUCAAAUAUCGUCUCCUCCACAGCUUGAAAGAUCGCAUAUAAUGCUUUCUGAUCUUUCUUUCGAGAUUCCACCAACGCUUCUUUCUCCUCCUUCCUCAAAGCAUUGAAUUCUUCAACAUCAGCUACUUCGGUGUAGCCGUUCUCCACCAGGUUCCACAAAUCUUGGGACCUGAAUAGAACCUUCAUCUGGACGGACCAGUUGUUGUAAUUUUUUCCAUUCAACUUUGGAAGUUGCAACUGAACAGAACUAGUGGAUGCCAUUGCUAGCUCUGAUACCAAUUGUUGGAACCAAAAGGACUUGGAGGGAGAGAGUACACACACAAAGAGAGAUUAUAUUACACAAUAUGCCUUUGUAAAGGCUUAAGAGAGUACACACACUAACUUUGCUAAGCUUAAAACUCUCUCUAAAAUCUCCUCUCUCACUCACAAAAAGAAAACUAACGUAACCCUAUAUCAAUAAGCACUUCACUGCCUGGACUUCAAACAUGCAAGAGUUGAAGUUGAAUUUUUCUUCUUGGCAGUCAAAAAUUGUGGGCUGCGUUUCCUUCACGUGCAAGUUGCAAGCCACAAGAUCACCUUCCUUCGUACUUCUUGAGAUCUCCAGCAGCUAGUGUAAUAAUAUUUUAUUGUGUGCCCAAGAUACUUGUACUUUCUUCAUGAUUUUUCUUCUCCGGCGGCUUAGAAAGACGUGGUGCUGUAGCACACGUUUCUUUGACGGUUUACAAACCGACUAACUCUUGCUUUCACACACAUAGCCAAAAAACAAUUAAAAGACAAAUAAGAUAAUCAAAACACAAAACCAAUUUUACUAUUUUCUAACAAGCCUGGCAUCACACUUGCCAUCGGCUGUUGCUGACUUUGUAGCAUUGUCUUCAAUUUCUCGAACAGAUCCGCCUUCAAUGGUUUUGUCAAAAUAUCUGCAAUCUGGUCUUCGGAUUUACAGAAAUCAAGUUCAAUCUCAUCUUCUUUAAUCAGCUCACGAAUAUAAUGAUACUUGAUGUCGAUAUGUUUGCUCCUGCCAUGAAAUACAGGAUUCUUGGCCAAUGCAAUUGCUGACUUGUUAUCACACAUCAAUUUAGUAGGACCUUUUUGUUCAUGCAUAAGCUCAAAAAGCAUCCUUCGAAGCCACAUCGCCUGACAUGCUGCUGAAGAUACUGCAAUGUAUUCUGCUUCAGUUGUUGAGAGUGCAAUAACUUGUUGUUUCUUUGAUGACCAAGAAAUUAUUCCUGAUCCAAGAAAGAACGCAUAUCCAGAAGUGCUCUUUCGUGUUUCAGUAUCACCUGCCCAAUCACUGUCUGUAUACCCCACUAAACUGAAGUUGUCAGUGUAAGAAUAUGAAAUUCCAUGAUCACGAGUUCCACUGACAUACCUUAAAAUUCUUUUUGCUGCUUGCAAAUGUGAUUGGUAUGGUUUCUCCAUAAACCGACUAAUAAUUCCCACGCCAUAAGUUAUAUCUGGCCUAGUGGUAGCCAAAUAUCUUAAACUGCCGACAAUACUUUUGAAAUAAGUGGGAUUUACCAGUUCACCGGUUCCUUCUUUCUUCAACUCCAACCGUUCUGCUACAGGAGUUCGAAUUGAUUUGAGCGUUUCCAUAUUGAAUCGCUUCAAAAUAUCAUUAGCAUACUUCUGCUGUGAAACAAAUAUGCCUUCAUUUGUCUGCUUCACUUCAAGGCCCAGAAAAUAGGACAUUAAUCCCAAGUCCGUCAUCUCAAAUUGACUUGUCAUGGCCUCCCUGAAUUCAGCAAACAUCUUCUCACAGCUUCCUGUAAAUAUCAAAUCAUCAACAUAAAGGCAAAUAAUUAUAAUAUUGCCGUUAGUAUUUGAUUUGAUAUACAGUGUAUGCUCAUAAGGGCACUUUUGAAAGCCAUGCUCCAACAGGUAAGUAUCAAUCCUCGUGUACCAAGCUCGAGGUGCCUGUUUUAGCCCAUACAACGCUUUCUUCAAUUUAUAAACUUGAUUUUCACGCCCUUUCUUCACAUAACCUUGUGGUUGCUCCACAUAUACUUCCUCAUCAAGAAAACCAUUAAGGAAUGCCGAUUUCACAUCCAUUUGAUGGAUUUUCCAACGGUUCUGAGCUGCAAGUGCCAAGAUCAUUCGAAUGGUAUCCAUUCGAGCCACCGGUGCAAAUACUUCAAAAUAAUCAAUACCUGGCUUUUGCUUGUAGCCUUUCACCACCAGUCUAGCUUUGUAACGGUCCACCUGACCGUUGGGUUUGCACUUCGUUUUGUACACCCACUUGACACCUAUAGGCUUCUUACCAGGUGGUAAAGAAGUUAGCACCCACGUGUCAUUCUUUUCAAUGGAGUGGAUUUCUUCAUCCAUUGCUUGGUUCCACUUCUCAUCUGCUGCUGCAUCAUCAUAGGAUAUGGGGUCACAUUCGGUAAAUAAACAAAAGUUUACCAUUGUUUCAUCAGUGAUUUCGUCACUGUCAUUAUGAUCAACUCUUGUGACCACAUAAUCCUUGAAUUUUACUGGCGUCUUUUGCGGUCGUUGUGAACGACGAAUCAAUGGUUCUGCAGUCGUUGCUGGUGAGGAGGAUGAACUACCAGGUGAAAGUGAUGGAUCUUCAAUUGAAGAUUCUUCGGUCUCCCUCAUCAAUGGUUCAUCUUCCAUAGGAAUGUCUUUCUGGUCAGCCUUUUGAUUCCAGUCCCAGGCUUCAUCUUCAAAAAAUUGGACAUCCCUGCUAAUAAUUACCUUCUCCGUGACAGGAUUAUAUAGCUUAUAACCCUUAGUCACAUUACUAUAUCCAAUGAAAAUGCACUUCUCGCUUUUAUCAUCCAACUUUUUUCUUCGUUCGUCCGGUAUAUGGGGAUAUGCUACACACCCAAAUACCCGUAGGAACGAAACAUCUGGCUUGUUGCCGCUCCAAGCCUCUUCUGGAGUUCUUCCAAGAACACUCCUUGUUGGACACCUAUUCAACACAAAUACAGCACAAGCAACGGCUUCCGCCCAAAACUUCUUCGGUAAUGCUUUAGCCUUUAGCAUACUUCUUGCCAUUUCAAAAAUUGUUCUAUUCUUUCUUUCUGCUAUACCGUUUUGCUGAGGAGUAUAGCUAGCAGUCAACUGACGUUUCAAUCCAUGAAUUUUACAAUAAUUGUCAAAUUCAUUGGAAGUAAACUCUCCACCUCUAUCCGAUCUCAAUGUCUUUAAAUUAAAGCCACUCUGUUUCUCAACAUAGACUUUGAAUUCUUUAAAUUUGCCAAAAGCUUCGGAUUUUUCUCUCAAAAAAUAAGCCCAUGUUCUUCUAGUAAAAUCAUCGACAAAAAUUAGCGUGUACCUUUUUUGUCCAAAUGAUUCCACCUCAACAGGGCCACAGAUAUCUGUAUGUACCAACUCCAGAGGUUGCUUGGCUCUUCUAGUUCUCCCAAUUGGAAAAGAUUUCCGAUGUUGCUUUCCAACGAGACAUCCUUCACAUGAGCGGUCUGGAGCGUCGAUCAAGGGCAUGCCAGUCACCAUCUUUUUCUGGACUAGUAAUUUAAGUCCACAAAAAUUUAGAUGACCGAACCGAAGAUGCCAUAGCCACUUGCUAUCUUUUGUCGUUGCUUGGAAAUUCAAUAGAGUCUUCGUCUGAAGGGAUAGAGGAAACAUCCGGUUCUUCGUCAUCCGUGUCGUUGUAAUCAACUUAUUGUUUGCGCCUCUAAUGGUGCACACACCAUUUUCAAUGUUAACUUUGUGGCCUUUUUCGGAUAGUUGCCCAACACUCAGCAAAUUCCAAAAGAGUCCCGGCACAAAGUAAACAUCUGCAAUAGUAACAUUAGUACCAUCUUUUGAGUUGAUAUCAAUGUUACCUUUGCCCAUCACGAGAAUUUUGGAUUUAUUCCCGAAGUUGACUUCACCACGAACCGUCUCAUCUAACUUCGAAAAUAGCUCCUUUUGACCACACAUGUGAUUGCUGCACCCAGUAUCAAGAUACCAAAUUUUUGUGUCCAUGGUACUUGAGUCAUCCAUUUGGCAUGCUAACACCACGCCUUCAUUUGCAUUGACAGCGUGCACAUAUUCUGGCUGCUCUUGCCCCCUGUUUGCUCGACAUUCGGAUUUGUAAUGUCCGAAUUUGUUACAGUUAAAACACUUGACUUUUGAUUUGUCACGUGUUUGAUAUCUUUUAGUGGAAUUCAGAUUUCCACCUCUACCUCGGGCACCACCACGACCUCCACGACCUCGGGCACCAUGAUGACCUCCUCGAUUUGAUUGAGUGACCCGACUUUGCAGUGCUUGCUCAGAAUUCGAACUGAUAGACUUUUGGUUCAUUCUUUGCUCAUGCGAACAUAAUGAACCCAUCAACCUCUCCAACGUCAUGGUUGAUAUAUCUUGGCCUUCUUCGAUCGCCGCAACGACGUAGUCAAAUCUUUCAGUCAAAGACCUCAAAAUUUUUUCUACGACUCGUACAUCUUGGAGCUCUUCACCAUUAACCCUCAGUUGGUUAACGAUGGUUUGUACACGAUCAAAGUAAGCCGAGAUAGAUUCUGAGUCAUUCAUGCGUAAAGACUCAAAAUCUCCUCGAAGUGUUUGGAGCCGCACCCGCCUGACACGAUCAUCACCUUUGUAGGAUUUUUGCAAUAUAUCCCACGCUUCUUUCGCUGUCUCCGCACUCGAUAUUUUCUCAAAUAUCGUCUCCUCCACAGCUUGAAAGAUCGCAUAUAAUGCUUUCUGAUCUUUCUUUCGAGAUUCCACCAACGCUUCUUUCUCCUCCUUCCUCAAAGCAUUGAAUUCUUCAACAUCAGCUACUUCGGUGUAGCCGUUCUCCACCAGGUUCCACAAAUCUUGGGACCUGAAUAGAACCUUCAUCUGGACGACCAGUUGUUGUAAUUUUUUCCGUUCAACUUCGGAAGUUACAUCUGAACGGAACUAGUGGAUGCCAUUGCUAGCUCUGAUACCAAUUGUUGGAACCAAAAGGACUUGGAGGGAGAGAGUAUACACACAAAGAGAUAUUAUAUUACACAAUAUGCCUUUGUAAAGGCUUAAGAGAGUACACACUAACUUUGCUAAGUUUAAAACUCUCUCUAAAAACUCACUCUCUCACAAAAACACUCUCACACACUGAACUAACGUAACCCUAUAUCUAAAAGUACUUCACCGCAUGGACUUCAAACCUGCAAGAGUUAAAUUUGAACUUUACUUCUUGGCAGUCAAAAAAAAACGUGGGCUGCGUAUCUCUUCUUCUUGCUGUCUUCAGAGAGAAUAAAAUAUUGCCAUCCCCAAGUUGCUUUCCUUCCUUUCCUUCGUGCUCUUGGAGUCUUCAGCAGCAACUAUAAUAUUUUAUUGUGUGCCCAAGACUUGUACUUUCUUCAUGAUUUUUCUUCUCCGGCGGCUUAGAGAGACGUGGUGCUGUAGCACACGUUUCUUUGACGGUUUACAAACCUAAUAACUCUUAUUUACACACACAGCCAAAAAACAAUUAAAAGACAAAUAAGCUAGUCAAAACACAAAACCAAUUUUACUAUUUUCUAACACGCCAUCUCCGAUCGAAGCUCCUUCCCUUCAACUAUUCAUCACCAAAGCAGAGGCGGAAAAAGGGCGAGGAAAUUGCCGGCGUCUCCGAUGUCGACGAGCUUCUAAUCUGGUGUGGAGCGAAGAAGAGGAGGGGCGACCGGGACCGGGUGCAGUCCGUUUCCGGAAUUUGGAUAUAUAAUCCGUGGGCUCUUCCUUCAAGCUCUUCUUGACUCGGCUAGGCGGUUUAACCCCCCCUUCUCCGGUUUUCCUUCCUCCCCCAGGGUCUUUCCUCGGAAAAGAGACAAAAGAAAAGUAUCAUCUCCAUUUUCAUUUUCAUUUUUAUUUUUUUUUGCUUUUCUGGUGGCGUACUCUGAGAAUAUUUCCCGAACGAGGCCACAAUUUUCACCCUCUUUUACCGCAAAGGCCCAUCGAAAGGUGGGCGGCAACUUGCGUUUUUUCACCCCGGGAGUCUCUCCCCUAAUAUUUGCCACUGCGAUCAUACGAUGAAAACUCGAAAUUAAUAUACUUACAAUAAAUUAAUUUUGAAUUAAUUUUUUAACUGUCAAAAACUUCAAACUGAUAAACUCUUUGUUAGUUUACAUUAAAUUUUACCAUUAAAUUAAUAAUAUAUGAUAAUUCAUGAACGUACUAGUUUGGAGACUUACUUUUUAUUUAUCAUAUAUGUUCUACUUUGUGAUUUUUUAAGGUAUUGAUCUAAUUUAAAGACUAAAGUAGAGUAAAACUAUCAUAAAUAUACUAUUUUGAUAUUUUGAGUAAUAAAAAAAUCAAUUUAGAGUAAAUUUAUCAUAUAUAUAUAUAUAUAUAUCAAUGUUAAUCCAUUGCUCAAAUAGCUCAAACUUCGAUUACGACAUAAAGUCCAUUUUCCAUUGAGAAAGUACAAGUUGGUGUUGGGUGUUGAUAGUCCAUAGUUCAUACAAGGGAAAGGGAAAGAAUAUUAUCGAAGAAUACAAUGUAGCAAAAUGAAAAGUAAGGGGGGACCAAAAUCGAAAGAUGUAUUUGCACGUUUUUUCUAUCAUAUCCACACUCUCCACCAAUCAAAGGCGCACGGGUGACGUAUUUCGUUCAUACCCCUUGCUCUGAUUGCCACGUUCGUAGUCUUAUCGCUAUCCCCAAAAUAUAGUAAAAGCCCUACACCCACUAACCAAUAAAAAGUUUGAGAAAGAUGUCGUGGCAACCUGGCAGGGACUUCAAUUGCCGCCUUAUUUUCAGAUGAUACCAGCCAAAAAAAGAAAAAGACAAAAAAGAACAACUAGUAGUUAAACAGUCAACCAUGGCCCUUUUCAUAUUGACUUGGGAAAUGAUGCACGGGGGCUAGAAGCCCGGGACAGAACAGACGCCUUCAACUCCAGAAAAUAUUUUGGUGCCUCUCACGUAACUAGCAUAACAAAACAAAAAAAAAAAAAAAAGAGAUCUAAAGAGGUGAGGCACGUUUAAAGUAGGCCCAAACGCCAGAUUCCCAUGCACGCUCUCUCCUAUCUCCUCUCUUUGCCCAAAUGCCAUACUCCUCUACACACGCUCUCUCUCUCUCUCUUCGCCACCCCCUCUCUAUCCCUCUGAGCCCUCGUUUGACCGACAAGCUUUCCCCCAAUGGAGGCAAAGCCACGUUUAUUCGUCCAAUUUAUUCGUCCAAUGAGGGUUCGAUCGUGACUUGAAGGGGAAAAGAGAGAACAGUCGAUGGGGGGUAGCGAGCUAUCAUCAGACCAGCGCUGUGGCUCGUCGGUUAGACAAGGGCACGAUGGCUCGUUCGCCGAACCACCGCACAUGCCUCGAGGUUGUCUACACCGUUGCGAAGUUCAUCGAUCAAGCAUGGUGGCUCAUCUAACAAACCAUCGCGGGGCUCUGCCUCCGCUUAGAAAGAUUACCUCCUCUAGCACUAGCCGACCCCAACGGAGAAGAAGAUGAACAGUCGCAAAUAAGGGCAAAAUCGAAAAAUCAAAAAGUCAGCCAAGAUAUUGGGUGUUUGAUAGAAUUUUUGAACCCACCUUGAGAAAAAGUUUGCAUUUAAAAGGCUAAAAGCUCGAGGAGAUUGUAGGUUAUCUUAGGCUUCCAUCCUUCUCAAUAUGCAAGAAGGCAGGGGGAGGUAAAAAAAUUUCUUUUUAAACUAUCCUUCCUAACUUUUUGAUUUUCCGAUUUUGCCCUUAUUUGCGACUAUUCGUCUUCUUCUUUGUGGGGGCUAGCUAGCGUGUCGACAAUGGGCCAAAGAGAGGUUGGUGUAAUUGUAGCGAUCUAGGCGAUCGUCGCCGAGGGUCAUGUGACCUGGGUGAGUGCCAUCUAGGUUGCACAAGGUAGCCUAAGGUCACUUGAUCCGAACAGUAGAUGGCCCUCGUCACUUGCAAAACCCCGACAAGAGUCUACCCUGUUUCAUGCAACCUAGUUGGCCCUUGUUAUGGUUGAGCGACCUCCGCGGGGGUCACGCUAGCAAAGGUUGCCUAGGUUUGUGUGACCUAACUAGCCCUCAUUGGAGUCAAGCAACCUCGACAAGGGGUUGCGCGAGCUAUGCGACCUAGCUAACCCUCAUUGGGGCGAAGCAACCUUCACGAGGGUCACAUCGAUGAGGGCUACUUGGGUUUUGCAUGACCUAGCUAGCCCUUAUGAGGGUCGAGUGACCUUUAUGAGGGGUUGCCUGGGUCACACGACACUCAUUAGGGCUCGCCCAACCCUAGGCAGCCUUCACCAAUGGUCUCUAGGGCAGAUGACCACCAUCGGCAACAGAUCAAGAUCGCCUACCCUUGGUUUAUUAGGGCUAGUUAUUUUAUUUUUUUUAUAAAAAAAAACUAAAAUGCUUUGUAUGUAUAAUUUUUUCAAAUAUUAUUUUACUCAAAAGUACUUCACAAUGAACUCUUAGAGUAUAAUUUAAUAAACAUGAUUUAUAUUUUGAAAAAAAAUUUUAACUUAAAAGUUCUUUGCAUUUUUUCAAAGGCUUUUUUAAAAAUCCAACGAGAGGCGCGUGCACAAGGGAGUCUAGCAUUUGGGCGAGAGAGAGGAGAGAACAGCACGUGCAGCAUUUGGACGAGAGAGAGGAGAGAGGAGAGCAUGCAAGGAAGUGACGUUUGGACCCACUUUGGACAUGUGUCACCAUUUUAGGUCUUUUUCUUUUUUAAUUAUGCUGGCUACACAAGAGGCAUCUAAUAUUUUCUUCAAAUCUAGAUGUGAUAUGAAGAGAUGGCAAGAUUGUCACCUCGAACGUCGAUUACAUAAAUGAUAACAUAGUAUCAGCAUCUACAAAAAGCCUAUCAGAAUAACAAGUCAUAUCUCAAUGUAUUACUUCGCUAGUCCCGUGCCAUCGGAUACACUUGACCCAAUGUGUGCUCCAGUCAAGCAGCGACAACUGCAUCGGUCGGCAAUAGCUUCAGGGGCGACCACCAAAGCAGUUGUUGCCUCCUCUAAAGCAUCAGCCACUGCGGCAUCACUGACUUCAGGGUCAUCUGUGUUGGGUGCCGAUGGCGGCCAAAGCUUCAAGUGGGACGGAGCACUGUGCUUCAAGAGAAUCUGUUGCAACCUUGAAAUUUCGGUUGGUUUUCCUGGUUUAGGGGCUCGGACAACGACAACAGAGGGCUUCUUCUCUUUGAUCCUUCUUUCCUCUCUUAUUUUCUAUGGUGGGAACUUCAUUAGGGAGGAGCUCUACAAUCGCCUUCCAGUAGUUCUUGUCAGCCUCAGUGUGCCUCAGUGUGGAACUUCCGUAGGCUAGCCAAAAACAACUGAACCACGAAGGACAUAGCAUCAGAAAAGGCCAAUAACAUUACCAUGACAACAUCCCCUACCAGAUUGCCAAAGGUGACCGCAUAAAAGCAAUGGUCCUAUGCAACUAUCAGUGCUAUGAUUUUUCGUGUUAUUUCACCCCGUACUGGAUUAAACAAUAGAUAAGAUGUCCUUGAUGUAUCAUAAUGAACAUAACCUAUGACAUUAACCCAAUUUAAUUUCAGACUAGUUAAGUUCAACUACAUUCAGUUUCUUCCCCAUCCUAUGCAACUUGUGUUAUUUCACCCAGUCCCAAUAGUAUUAAGUCCUAGAUGUAUUGUAACGAGUACAACAUUGACACUAGUCAGAUUUCUAACUAGUUGAGGUCAAAGACAUUUUGAUUUUCCCCAUCCUACAUGAUACCAAAUGUCCCAGGAAAUAACCGAGAUUCUAAUCACUUUCAUAUGAUAUGAACACACGCUAGUAAUCUACUUUAAUUUGGUCCUAGAAUCUACUCUCCAUAAUCGCCGGUGUAUUUAUAGCACUAAUAACAAUUCCCCAAACACAUCGUGCCCUUUACCCUUCUCCACCAACUACAAUGCAUUUUACCUCAUUAUAUCGAAUAAUGUCGGAUGGUGUGCACUACCAUAAAAAGGUAUGAGGCUAAAGUGCAGUUCAAACACAUGAUAUACCAUUGGCGUGCCCCUCCUUUGCAAAAAUACUAUUUGAUCGUAGUGGGCAUUCGAUACUUAGAAUUGUUUCUAAAGGGUACUUUAACUUGAUUGACUCCAAUUUGCAAGCAUGGGAGCUACUAACGCUUCUCAUACCUUAGACAUUAUCAGCCUACAUUAACAGAAGGCUGAUGCAUUGGAACUUAAAUUUCAAAUCUUGAGUCAGCAUUAUGCAGUUCUUCACAAUGAUUGCAAAAGAUCAAUUUUAAAUCAAUUUGAUUAACUGUUGCAAGUUUAAAAAUCAAAUACCAUGGCUUGAAUAUUCCACUAACAGUCGUCAGCACAACUUCCAUGAAUUAAAUGAUCACAAUUUAAUGCACUGGGCCAAAUUGUUAAAAAAAUACAUAUAAAAUUCAAGUAUGAACAAAAGAUAAACAUCAUGAAUUAAGUUUGCAAUUGCAGAUUGGAAGGGCUCGCCUUCUCAUUUUCCCCGUUGGUUGUCUUGUUGUUCUAACAUGUUAUCAUCCUUUUCCUGUAGAACUCAAUUUUAUACUCAUCUGCUUCACCAAUUAUUUGGUUUUUUUUUUGGUCGAAACACCAAUUAUUUGGUUCAAUAGCUCUUUCUCCAUCUUCUCUUUCUCUUCCAAUCGAACUGCAUUUUUCCUUUGCAUUGCAACAAAUUUUUAUUAUAAUAUAUCACGUAGAGAAGGGGAAAAAAAAAAAAAAGAGGAAGUACAUAGUGCCCCACAAAAGCAGGAAUUUUGCUUUGAUCAAGGUUAACAGUCACCAGCACUGAAGGGAUUUACAAGUAAAGCAAGACCUUAUAUUAUUUCUUUAGUAAAGUCUAAGCACAGAAUUGAACAAUGGGUAAUUAAAUUCGUACCUAAUCAUUGGGUAAUAUCAUAUUGGAACUCUUGGAUUUCUAAUAUCCACUGUCGUCCUUUAAAAACUUUGAAGCUAUGCGAUAAUCAUACUUUCAAAACUAUUAAAUCAAUCCAGUCGUUAUUUCAUGGUGGUUUGGUCCUUCAAUAAAUAAGCAGUCAUUGGCUUUGAUUUCAACGUUCCCCCUCCCCUCAAUCCCCAUCCCUCUCCUCUUGAGGGCUUCUACAAUCGCCUAAGUUGGUUAACAUUAGAUCAGGCAAGAAUUAAUUCCAUUCACUACGGCAUUUUCAUGUUAUUGUGUGCUAAGGCUUUUUCUAUAGGAGCUACGACAAAAUGCAUGUGAUCUCACGGAAAAAAAAAGAGUAUAUAUAUAUUAUCUUCAAAAUCUAGAUAAGAUCGCAUGGACUCAAUUGUGAAGGCCAUGGAAAUCCAUAAGCAGAUGGGAAUUUGAGAUUCUGCAAGCCCCAGGACAAUCACACAAAGUUAACAGGAUUUUCGAGAAGUGAGAGAAUUCUGGGGCUGCUAUUAGCCAUUAGGUGGGUAUGAGUGUCGAGGGUUCUCGUCCCAAUUGUCCCAGGUCCCUUCCAAUCCCCAACUUGCGAAUUCAAUCUCUGAAGCAUUGCAAAGAUCAUAAUUUUUCCCACAGAAUUAGCACCACUACGAGGUCAUCUGAAGUGAUCCUACAUGAUAACAGUACUAAGAUGCUCUAACAGCCAAAAAAAUUCCCUCUAUUCACUCAAAAGUGCGGCUUUCUCUUUCUAGAAGUCUAUUUUCCCCGACUUAACUCAGCGAUUAUAGCAUCACUUUCAUAGCACGAGAAUCAUCGGUAUUGCUCUUUAAGCUAAUCAUCGCACUACACUUAAGAUCAGAGAACAAAGCUCUUCAAACCACCACACUGAUAUGACCACAAGACAUCUCUCCCCAGAGAGAAUGAUCCAUAGAAGACUCAAAAUUCUGUAACAUCGCGAGACUCACAUCCUCCACUCUCUCAAAGCAAAUUGUUCCUCAGGCUGCAUCUCCAUCGGGGGUGGCAAAACGGGGCCGUCCGCCUCGUCCGUCGAGAACUGCCCAGCCACAGCGUAGACCGGACAGUCGGCCGGCACAUGCUCCAAGAAAAAACCAUCCACGGAAGCGAAGCCGCCGGCAUCGUCGUCGUCGUCACCCUCCUCCUCCUCAAGUGAAUAGACCAUUCGCUCAGACAACUCUCGACCGACCACUCUCACAUACCUCUGCACUUGGGCUUCGAGCUCAACAAGACCAAAGGCCCCUUGCAGAUCCUUCAUAGAAGAAAUAGACCAGUGAGCCAUUUGGUGUAUCAAGUGUACAUACAGGCAACUCACAAGACGGAUCUCUGUUCAAGACACCAAGUAGAUUAUGUAAUUAUGUGAGUUCCAUCAAUUGAAAAAAACACACUUAAUUCUUUUUCUGUGAGGGGUAAAAUCAACUAAAUAAUUGGAGGCACGAAUUAGAGAAAAGCAGGGCACUAGCUGAAGAACUGUCCAGACAAUAACCCAUUGGCUUCUCUUCUCUAUAUUAACCAAAAUGCCAGUGGAAACUCAAAAUGACAUUCAACAGUGAAACAUCCAAUAACAGACGCAAAAGGAUCUUCUCACCCAAUAAGAAAGGAGAUUUAGAGUUGCUGAUGAACUUUUCAUACCUUGUAUCUCAGGCGAGACCCCCGUAAUCCUAUUAGAGCUUUUCCAAUAUCCCUAUCCUCCAUUUCAGAAACUGGAGGCAGCACUGGCUUUUCAUCUUCAUCUUUAUAAUCUGACAGGACAACAUACUUUCUUUCAUCAAGCUGAGGCUUUGCAACGUUGAAGGGAACCCACCUGAGAUAUGCAUUAACUAGCUUGCACAUUAACUUUGACAAUAUGCACAGGUACUUAUUGCAAGUGUAAAAGAAUAACAGAACUCACAUAAUGACUAUUAAGUGUGAAGUAGUUGAACUAGGAGGGAUGAUGAAUUUAAAAGUUCACUUCCUCGCAAUUUGCAAGACACUGAAGAAAUAAAGUCUCAUCCAAAGAAGAAGGAGAGUGCAAGAGGGACGUACGAGUAACGGAGGGGACAUAGAAGCUCAGAUGGCCAAUACGCUGCUUUAUAUCUCAUCUUGCUGCAUGAAUGAAUGUAAUAGCCAAGGUAAUAAUACUGAAGACUGGGGCAGUGAACUUGAUUCUCCUUCACCCAAGAUAUUUCUUUCAAAGCCGAAUAUUUUCCCAAAGAUAAAAAGGCAAAGUCAGGGUCCCAAAAUAAAUAUUUACUCGACAAGCAUUUAGGAAGGAUAUCCACCACACCAACCGCAACUAAUCGGCCAUCAAUAACAUAUGACUGAUGGAAAGACCCAAAACCGCAGGGAGGAACUGAACCAUCACCGGUCGAGGGAACAAAAACCAAUGGUGUGUCAACCAAAAAACUCUCAUACCCUUCCUCUGUGAUAUCGUCUGGAUUGUCCUUGUGCACUUUCAACUGAUAUCGCCUAUACAACUCAAAUUCUUCACGCUCAAAACUGGAUCUUUUCAGAAGAAUCUCAAGCUUCCGCCUUUUUCCUGAACAACAGUUACAGCACCUCACCAUACAUCUUCUCUUGUUUCCAUUUCUCGUUGAAGAUUCUUUAGAGAGAGAUUUUUCUUCGCCAGUCUUAUCCGCUGAAGCAUGCUCUGCAAUAGAAUAAAAGUUCAGAUGUCCGUUACAUGCUUGGACCAAGAAGCCAGAUGUUUCAUCCGUUUGAGACAAUGACCGCGCCAACUUUUCUCCAAUCCUUCGAGGUGUCAACUCAGAAGGCAGUUGGUCUUCUGCUGAGAUUCCAGAGAAUUCUGACCCUUUUUCAUCCUUUUUUUCUGACCGCGCACGCCUUAAAGUGGCAGCCAAUUGGAAAGCAAUGUUACUGGUAUACGAGAGAUUUUCCAAUCCUUUGACUAGCUUCUUCUUCUUGGUUGGGGAGACUCCUUUGACAGAAGCUUUAGGUAAUUGAAGAUUGGCAGAAAACGUCUCGCUUUCGAUACAUGCCUGCACAGCCUUAUCAAUUGCAUCAGACAAGUAAUGCAUAAAUUGUUCUGGCUCAUUCUUAUCCUCCUCCACGUCCACAGAAGUUUCAACCGUUGCCAAGUUUGACCUUCCAUGACAUUCACAUUCACAUGCCACUUUAGAAGUAUUUAAAUCCUCCAGGAGCUCAGGCUUGGCUUUGGUGUCCAGUGUACCAUCCAGAAACCUAGAAAAUAAUCACCAUGGUGAGAAAUUCUUGUACAUUAUAUCCAGAGUAUGCAGCUUUGCUAAAUCCUCACCUCAAAGGUAUAAUUCGGUUGAAAUGCACAAGUAGCCUAACAAUUUUCGCAACCAUUGCACUUGUUAAGUUUAGCUUCAUGGUGUAAAAAGACCGAGAAAUUUCUCAAGCAGUUAAAAAGCAAAGCUCUUUCACUUUGAGAAAUCUCCUAGGUUGGAAAGCUUAGUGACGUCAAACUAAAAUUCCACUCAUGGAGUUGUCCGUUGAAAUACCAUUCCAAUGCCUACCAGCCUCAAAGUGGGCAAAUAGUAUUUUUGAUGACCACUGCUCUAAUCAAUUGACAAAGAAUGGACUCCAAACUCGAAUGCUGUCUUGAAAACAGGGUGGUGGUCGAUUUUGCAAAAUGCAACGACGACGGAAUGAUGAAAAAAAAUCAUAUGUGAAGAUGCAACGAUCCAAUGAAUAGAAUCCAUAAUGUAGAGAGGUUAUUAAAGUAAUACCUUUCCAUCCGUCUGCAUACUCGAUUUUGCUCCUUGGAAGGAGAAAAGUCCGCUGCUUUUAAGCGGAUAGUAUAAGAAGGGCAACACGUAGUACUCAUAUCUGGCUUGUAAAGGACAGAGCCAGAUCUUCUCCAUCCUCGAUCAAGGAGAUCUACAGGAUGAGUAUCGAAGUAUGAAUUGCCACUCAAAAGAUAAAUGCACAAUCAUCGAAUGUACUAUAACAUCUAUCCGAGCCAUCAUUGCCACAGUAAGAAAACUAUUGGGAUAGAAACGACUCGAGUCGGAACUUCAGCAUCCACCAUAGCUCCAACAUGGUUUCUCUGAGCUCUUGCAGUUAAAAUACGCACAUACGGAAGCAUACGUGCGUGUCUUAACUGCUGAUAGAAUGAGUAGGCAUAAAUUUCCCUCAUACGGAUCAAGCAUUCGAAAUUUCUCUACUUCUUUCGACCAGACAUGUGCACAUAUUGAAACUACAUGAGCCGAGAGUCGAUUAGUUACAGCGCAUCGACAGUCCAGAGCUGCCCAGACUCUCAAAAUAGGAAAUCCCGCACCAACCUUGAUAGUCAUCCACGUUUAGGCUCUCCGCGAUCAAGCCUGCGAUCCAAGUCGAAGAGACGUUAAAAAACAAACAAUCCGAAACGGGAAAAAAUUCGUCACAGCAAGCCGACACACGCAACGAAGCGUCAGAUUGGAACUAAAGACUAAACGCGAAUCAGCAAUUCCAGCGACCGUGAACGUCACGACAGUCGACAAAAGCCGGAAAAAAGCAAACCCCGAAGCACGGCAUCUCCAGUCCCGAGCCACCGGAGCCCGGGCAAAAACCGUACUCAACGACACGGGAGGGAGGCAAACAACGAGAAACGAAGGAGAAACCGUACGGACCGUGAGAAACGCUGGAGGACCCAUUUGGCGAUUUGCAGUACCCGCAGGAGCUCUCCUGCCGGCCGCAGUCCUCGACCACCGACUCCCCCCUUCCGCCGCCGCCGCCGCCGGUCGCCUCGCUGCGACGGUUGGCCGCCAUCUCCGAUCGAAGCUCCAUCCCUUCAGCUGUUCGUCACCAAAGCAGAGGCAGAGAGAGGGAGAGGAAAUCGCCGGCGCCUCCGAUUUAUUUAUACGAGCUUCGAAUGGGUCGAGUGGAGAUGAGGACGGUCCGACCGGGACGGGGUGCAGUCCGUUUCCGGAAUUUGCAUAUAUAUAAUCCGUGGGCUGUUCAUUUCAAAGCCGCGAGGUGGUUUAGCCCCUUUUUUCUCCGGUUUUCCUCCCCCAGGAUCUUUCCUCGGAAAAGAGACGAAAGAAAAGUACCAUCUCAUUUGCAAAAAUAGAAAUAGCAUCGUCUUCACAAAUCAGCCUCUUUCGGACCCGACCAUGAAGAACCAUUUUUCAAAGUAAUCCAAUAUAAGGCUAUCACAUUAAAAAAACGUUGAAGAUAAUUUCAGGAGCAGAAGGUUGCAACGAAGUUGGAGUAUUGAUCCGAUCAUUUUCUCCGGAGACCCGUAGCCUUGUCGGAUUCUCUUUUGGAGCCGUGGGCUACUCUUCUCCCUGGCUGUCGCUUUUUGCUUGAAUGUCGACCGUCUAUGCCGUGCUUGUCUUUGGCGUUGCAUUGUAGGGUGUGUGCCGCGUGUUUGUGGCUUUUACAUAAUGGCAUCCUUCCACCGCUUUUGAUCUUUUGAAGUACGAGUUUUGAAGCCCUAAUCUUAUGUAUUUUUAGCCUCUUCUCAAUAUAUUUAUUUCCUUUCACCAAAAAAAAGAAAGGUAUCAUCUCCAUUUUUAUUUUUAUUUUGCCUUUCUAGUGGUGUACUCUGAGAAUAUUUCUCGAAUGAGGCCACAAUUUUCACCCUUUUUUUUUACCAAAAGGGCCCAUCGAAAGGGGGCGGCAAUUUGCGUUUCUUCACCCUGAGAGUCUCUCCCCUAAUAUUUUCGAUCCAAAUCAAUACGAUGAAAACUCCAAAUUGAUAUAUUUACAACAAAUUAAUUUAAAGCUAUUUUUUUAACUAUUACAAACUCCAAAUUGAUAAAUUCGUAAUAAAUUUAUUCUUCAUUAAUUUUCAUUAAAAAAUUUCAUUAAAUUACUAAAUUAGAUAGCACAUGACAAUAAAUAGGCGUACUAGUUUGGGGGCUUACUUUUUAUUUAUCAUAGUAUAAUAUUUUAUGAUUUUUCAUGGUAUUAAUAUAAUUUGAUAGAAACUAACGUUGAGUAAAAAAGUCACAAAUAUACUAUUUUGAAAAUUUUUGUGAUAAAAAAUUAAUUUAUGAUAAAUAUAUCAAUUUAUGAUUUUUCAUCAUAUUAAUUUGUUGCUAAAAUAGCUCAUCAUGACAUAAAGUCCGUUUUCCAUUGAGAAAGUAUCAGCUGGUGUUGGGUCCUGAUAAUCCAUAGUUCAUACAAGGGAAAGGGAAAGAAUAAUAACGAAGGAUACAAUGUAGGAAAUUGAAAAGUAGAGGAGGGCCAAAAUCGAAAGAUGUAUUUGCUCGUAUUUUAUAUCAUGUCCACACUCUCCACCAAUCAAAACGCACCUUGCUCUGACUGCCACAUUCGUAGUCUGAUCUCUAUCCCCAAAAUAUAGUAAAAGCCCUAUACCCACACAAAAAGUUUUGAGGAAGAUGUCGUGGCAGCCUGGCGGGGAUUGCCCUCCUUCUUUCAGAUGAUGAUGAUGACGACGGUGAUGGAAAGGUACUCCACUCAACACCAGCCAAAAAAAAGAAAAGAACAACUAGUAGUUAAAUAGUCGAUCCUGGCCCUUUUCAUAUCGAAGGGGAAAAUGAUGCACGGGGGGCUAGAAGCCUAGAACAGACGGCCUUCAACUCGAGAAAAUAUUUGGUGCCUGUCAUGUAACUAGCAUAACAAAAAAAGAAGAGAUCUAAAAAGGUGACACGCGAUUAAAGUAGGCCCAAACGUCAGAUUCCCAUGCACCUUCUCCUCCCUCCUCUCUCCUGUCUCUUCUCUUUGCCCAAAUGGCAUACUCCUCUACACUUUCUCUCUCUCUCUCUCUUCUCUCCCUUGCACGAUCUCUCUCUAGCCCGACUCUCCCUCUCUUCGCCACCCUCUCUCUAUCCCACCGAGCCCUCGUUUGACUGACAAACUUUGCCCCAACAGAGGCAAAGCCACGGUUUUUCGUCCAACGAGGGUUCGAUUGUGACUUGAAGGGGGAAAGAGAGAACGGCCGAUGGGGGGCAGCAAGCUAUCAUUAGACCAGCGCUGUGGCUCAUCGGUUGGACAAGGGCACUAUGGCUCGUUCGACGAACCACCACACAGCCUGACCUUGAGGUUGUCUACACCGUCACAAAGUUUGUCGAUCGAGCGCGGUGGCUCGUUCGGCGAACCACCGUGUGGCUCUACCUCCUCUUAGAAAGGUUGCCUCCAUUGGCGCUAACCAACUCCAAUGGAGAAGAGGUUGAACAAUCGCAAAUAAGGGCAAAAUUGAAAAACAAAAAAGCCAGUGAGGAUAUUGGGCAUUUGAUAAAAUUUUCAAAACUCACCUUGAAAAAAAGUUUGCAUUUGAAAAGCUGAAAGCUCUUGAGCUUUCAGCCUUCUCGGUAUGCAAGAAGGCCAUAGGAGGUAAAAAAAUUUCUUCUGAAAUUAUCCUCACCGACUUUUUGGUUUUUCGAUUUUGCCCUUAUUUGCGAUUGUUCUGCUUCUUCAUUGGGGCUGGCCAGCGUGGCUGCUAUGGCUACGAGGGGUUGGCAACGGGCCAAAGAGAGUAUGGCGCAAUCGCGGCGACCUAGGCAACCAUCCUGAGGGGAUCCUGUGACCUAGGCAAGUGCCAUAUGCAUUGCACAAGGCAGGCUAAGGUUACUCGAUCCAAACAGUAGACGACCCUCGACAAUCACACAACCUCUACAAGAGUCUGCUUGUUUCGUGAAACCUAGUUGGCUUAUAUUAUGGUUGAGCAACCUCCACGAGGGUUGUGCCGGUGAAGGUUGCCUAGGUUUGCAUGACCCAACUGGCCCUCGUUGGGGUCAAGUGACCUCAACAAGGAGUUACAUGGGCUACUUGACCUAGCUAACCCUCGUUGGGGUUGAGCAACCUUCGCAAGGGUCAUGUCGGCAAGGGCUACUUGGGUUUGCACGACCAAACUGGCCCUUGCUCAGGUCGAGUGACCUUUGUGAGGGUUGCGUAAGUCGCACAACACUCACUAGGGCUCGCCCAACCCUAAGCAGCCUUUGCUAGUGAUCUCCAAGUAGCCACCUACCCUUGGUUUGUUAGGGCCAAUUAUUAUUAUUUUUUCUUUAAUAAUUGAAAUGCUUUGUUAGUAUAAUUUUUCCAAAGACAAAUUAUUAUUAUUUUUUCUUUAAUAAUUGAAAUGCUUUGUUAGUAUAAUUUUUCCAAAUAUUAUUUUACUCAAUGGAGUCUUAGAUUACAAUUUAUUAAAAGUAAUUUGCAUAUUGAAAAACUCAUUUAACUUAAAAGUUUCCUGAAGGCUUUUCCCAAAAAUCCAACCAAAUACACCGAGAGAGAGAGCGCAGGGGGAGUCUGGCAUUUCGGCGAAAGAGAGGAGAGAGGAGAGAACAGUGCAGAGGAGAGUGGAGUGAACAAUGCGUGCAGCAUUUGGAUGAGAGAGAAGAGAGAGGAGAGAGCAUGCAAAGAAGUGACGUUUGGACCCACUUUGGACAUGUGUCGCCAUUUCGGUUCAUUUCUUUUUAUUGUGCUGACUACACAAGAAGCAUCUAAUAUUUUCUUCCUUCAACUUAGUGAAUCUAGAUGUGAUGUGAAGAGAUGACAAGACCAUCACCUCGAACAUUGAUUACAUAACGGAUAGCAUGGUAUCAACUUCUACGAAAAGUCUAUCGAAAUAACAAGUCAUACCUCGAUGUAUUACCUCCCUAGUCCUAUGCCGUCGGAUACACUUGACCCAAUGUGUGUUCCAAAAAGAGGAGCUCCACGAGUCAUGACAUUCCAGAGGAUGUAUUUUUGCUACUAAGCUAUCAACCAAGAACGAGAAUAACGGAAUUAUAGUCCUAUUGAAGCAGCGGCAACACCUUCAGGGGCCACCACCAAAGCAAUUGCCGCCUCCUCUGAAGCAUCAGCCACUGCGGCACCACUGACUUCAGGGCCAUCUGUGUUGGGUGCCGAUGCCGGCCAAAGCUUCAGGUGGGAUGGAGGGCUGUGCUUCAAGAGAAUCUAUUGCAUCCUUGAAACUUCAGUUGGUUUUCCUGGUAUAGGGGCUCGGACAACGACAACAGAGGGCUUCUUCUCUUUGAUCCUUCUUUCCUCUCUUAUUUUCUAUGGUGGGAACUUCAUUAGGGAGGAGCUCUGCAAUCGCCUUCCAAAAGUUCUUGUCAGCCUCAAUGUGGAACUUCCCGAGGCUGGCCAAAAACAAUUGAACCACAAAGGACAUAGCAUCAGAAAAGGCCAAUAGCAUUACCAUGACAACAUCCCCCACCAGACUGCCAAAGGUGACCGCAUAAAAGCAAUGGUCCUAUGCAACCAUCAGUGCUAUGAUUUUUUUGUGUUAUUUCACCCUGAACUGGACUAAACAAUAGAUAAGAUAUCCUUGAUAUAUCAUAACGAGUAUAACCUAUGACUUUAACCAAAUUCAAUUUCAGACUAGUAAGUUCAACCACAUUCAGCUUUUUCCCCAUCCUAUGCAACUUGUGUUAUUUCACCCAGUCACAAUAGAUCAAGUCCUAGAUGUAUUGUAACAACAUUGACGCUAGUCAGAUUUCUGACUAAUUGAGGUCAAAGACAUUCUGAUUUUCCCCAUCCUGCGUGAUAGCAAGUGUCCCAGGAAAUAACUGAGAUUCUAAUUACUUUCAUAUGAUAUGAACACACACUAGUAAUCUACUUUAAUUUGGUCCUAGAAUCUAUUCCCCAUAAUCGCUAGUGGAUUUAUAGAACUGAUAACCAUUUCCCGAACACAUAGUGCCCUUCACCCUUCUCCACUAACCACAAUGCAUUUUACCUCAUCAUAUUGAAUAAUGUCUGGAUGGUGUGCACUACCAUAAAAAGUAUGAGACUAAAGUGCAGCUCAAACACAUGAUAUACCGUUGGCGUGCUCCUCCUUUGCAAAAAUAUUAUUUGAUCGUAGUAGGCAUUUGAUACUUAAAAUUGUUUCUAAAGGGUACUUUAACUUGAUUGGCUCCAACUUGCAAGCAUGGGAGAUACUAACGCAUGUCAUACCUUAGACGUUAACAGAAAGCUGAUGCAUUGGAACUUAAUUUUCAACUCACGUCAGCAUUAUGCAGUUCUUCACAAUGAUUACAAAAUAUCAAUUUUAAAUCGAUUUGAUUAACUGUUGCAAAUGUAAAAAUCAAAUAUUCCACUAACAGUCGUCGGCACAACUUCCAUGAAUUAAAUGAGUACAAUUUAAUGCACUCGUGUGAUAAAACGGAAUCAUAUAAACCCACCCGGAAAAAUUGUUACAGAAACACUCACCAAAAAAAAAAAAAAAUCAAGUAUGAACAAAAGAUAAAUAUCAUGAAUUAAGUUUGCAAUUGUAGAUUGGAAGGGCUCGCCUUCACCUUUCUCCUGUUGGUUGUCUUGUUGUUAUCACAUGUUAUCGUCAUUUUUUCCUGUAGAACUCAAUUUUAUACUCAUCUGCUUCAUCAAUUAUUUGGUUCAAUAGCUCUUUCUCCAUCUUCUCUUUCUCUUCCAAUCGAACUGCAUUGUGUCCUUGCAUUGCUACAAAUUUUUAAUGACAACAGUCUUAUAAUAUAUGACGUCAAUGGAAAAAAAAAAGUACAUAGUGCCCAACAAAAGCAGGAAUUUUGCUUUGAUCAAGGUUAACAGUCACCAGCACUGAAGGGAUUUACAAGUAAAGCAAGACCUUAUAUCAUUUCUUUAGUAAAGUCUUAUUGUACAGAUGAACCAUAGUAGUAAAUUCGUACCUAAUCAUGGGCAUUUUUAUGUUAUUGGUGUGCUAAGGCUUUUCUUAUAGGAGUUAGGCGGAAAUCCCGUUUUUUUCCCCCCCCCCCCCCCCCCCUCCCCAACCACCACCAAAAAAAAUAUAUAUAUAUAUAUUUGGGGUAAGCAAAAUCACUCUUGAAAAUCUAGAUAAGAUCGCAUGGACUCAGUUGUGAAGGUCAUGAAAAUUCAUAAGCAGAUGGGAAUUUGAGAUUCUGUGAAAGCCGGGACAAUCAGACAAAGUUAACAGGAUUUUUGAGAAGUGAGAGAAUUCUAAGGCUGUUGUUAGUCAUUAGGUGGGUAUCAGUGUUGAGGGUUUCUCUCAUCCCAAUUGUUCCAGAUCCCUUCCAAUCCCCAACUUGCGAAUUCAAUCCCUGAAGCAUUGCAAAGAUCAUAAUUUUUCGCACAGAAUUAGCACCACGACGAGGUCAUCUGAAGUGAUCCUACAUGAUAACAGUACUAAGAUGCACUAAGAGCCAAAAAAAUUCUCUCUACUCACUCAAUUCACUCAAAAGCUGCUUUCUCUUUCUAGAAGUCUAUUUUCCCUGACUUCACUCGGCGAUUAGAGCAUCGCUUUCAUAGCGCGAGAAUCAUCAGUAUUGCCCUUUAACCUAAUCAUCACACUACACUUCUCAUCAGAGCACGAAGCUCUUCAAACCACCACACUGAUGUGACCACAAGAUAUCUCUCCCCAGACAGAAUGAUCCGCAGAACACAAACUCACUCUCAAAAUUCUGCAACAUCAUGAGACUCACCUCCUCCACUAUCUCAGAGCAAAUCCUUCCUCAGGCUGCAUCUCCAUCAGGGGCGGCAAAACCGGACUGUCUGCCUCCUCCGUCGGCCACGGCGUAGACCGGAGGGGUGGCUGGCGCCUAGUCCGAGAAAAAACCAUCCCUGGAAGUGAAGCUGUCGGCGUCAUUGUCGUCAUCCUCCUCCUCAAGUAAAUAGACCAUUUGCUCAGACAACUCUCGACCGACCACUCUCACAUGCCUCUGCACUUGGGCUUCCAGGUAUUUCCAAUCAACAAAACCAAGGGGCCGUUGCAGAUCCUUCAUAAAAGAAAUAAACCAGUGAGUCAUUUGGUAAAUCAAGUGUGUAAACAGGCAACUCACAAGAUGGAUCUCUGUUCAAGACACCAAGUAGAUUAUGUAAUUAUGUAAGUUCCAUCAGUUAUUUAUUUAAAAAAAAAAAAAAAAACUAAGUCUUAUUCUGCAAGGGGUAAAAUCAACUAAAUAAUUGGUGGCAUGAAUUAGAGAAAAGCAGGGCAGUAGCUGAAGAACUGUCCAGACAAUAACCCAUUGGCUUCUCCUCUCUAUAUUAAAAAAAAAGCCAGUGGAAACUCAAAAUAACAUUCCACAGUGAAACGUCAUAUAACAGACGCAAAAGGAGCUUCCCAAACAAUAAGGAGAUUUAUAGUUGCCGAUGAACUUUACAUACCUUGUAUCUCAGGCGAAACCCCCCUAAUCCUAUCAGAGUAUUUCCAAUUUCCUUAUCACCAAGGUCAAACAUUUCUUCAUCUCCAACUAAACGAUCAUUCGAGUCCUUAUGCUCACUUUCCUCAUGCUGAUGUUCGCUGACAUGAUCAGAAACUGGAGGCAGCAAUGGCUUCUCAUCUUCAUCUUUAUAAUCUGACAGGACAACAUACUUACUUCUAUCUAGCAGAGGCUUUGCAACGUUGAAGGGAACCCACCUGAGAUAUGCAUUAACUAGCUUGCACAUUAACUUUGACAAUAUGCACAGGUACUUAUUGCACAUGUAAAAGAAUAACAGAGCUCACAUAAUGACUAUUAUGUGUGAAGUAGUUGAACUAGGAGGGAUGAUGAAUUUAAAAGUUCACUUCCUCGCAAUUUGGAAGAUCCUCAAGGAAUAAAGAUUCAUCCAAAGAAGAAGGAGAGUGCAAGAGGGACGUACUGGUAACGAAGGGGACAUAGAAGCUCAGAUGGCCAAUACGCUGUUUUAUAUCUCAUCUUGCUGCAUGAAUGAGUGUAAAAGCCAAGGUAAUAAUACUGAAGACUGGGGCAGUGAACUUGAUUCUCCUUCACCCAAGAUAUUUCUUUCAAAGCCGAAUAUUUUCCCAAAGAUAAAAAGGCAAAGU
rnacentral:lncRNA from 1 species